AUUGCCUCAGUAACGGCGAGUGAAGCGGCAACAGCUCAAAUUUGAAAUCUGACCUCUCCGGGGGGCCCGAGUUGUAAUUUGAAGAGGGUGUUUCGGGCGAGGCGCCGGCCUAAGUCCCUUGGAACAGGGCGUCAUAGAGGGUGAGAAUCCCGUAUGCGGCCGGUGACCGGACCCAUGUGAAACCCCUUCGACGAGUCGAGUUGUUUGGGAAUGCAGCUCUAAAUGGGUGGUAUAUUUCAUCUAAAGCUAAAUACCGGCCAGAGACCGAUAGCGCACAAGUAGAGUGAUCGAAAGAUGAAAAGCACUUUGGAAAGAGAGUUAAAAAGUACGUGAAAUUGUUGAAAGGGAAGCGCUUGCGACCAGACCUGUCGCCGGGCGAUCAACCGUCGUUCUCGGCGGUGCACUCGCCCGCGCGCAGGCCAGCAUCGGUUCGGGGGGUCGGAUAAAGGUCUCGGGAAUGUAGCUUCCUCCGGGGAGUCUUAUAGCCCGGGGUGCAAUGCGGCCAGCCUGGACCGAGGACCGCGCUUCGGCAAGGAUGCUGGCGUAAUGGUCGCAAGCGGCCCGUCUUGAAACACGGACCAAGGAGUCUAACAUCUAUGCGAGUGUUUGGGUGUCAAACCCGUGCGCGGAAUGAAAGUGAACGGAGGUGGGAACCCCUGGAGGGCGCACCAUCGACUGAUCCAGAUGUUUUCGACGGAUUUGAGUAGAGCAUAGCUGUGGGACCCGAAGAUGAUGACUAUACUGAUAGGUGAGCAGAGAAACUCUGGUGGAGCUCGCAGCGAUUCUGACGUGCAAAUCGAUCGUCAAAUUUGAGUAUAGGGGCGAAAGACUAAUCGAAUCAU
rnacentral:rRNA from 1 species